UGCAAGUCGAGCGAACUGAUUAGAAGCUUGCUUCUAUGACGUUAGCGGCGGACGGGUGAGUAACACGUGGGCAACCUGCCUGUAAGACUGGGAUAACUUCGGGAAACCGAAGCUAAUACCGGAUAGGAUCUUCUCCUUCAUGGGAGAUGAUUGAAAGAUGGUUUCGGCUAUCACUUACAGAUGGGCCCGCGGUGCAUUAGCUAGUUGGUGAGGUAACGGCUCACCAAGGCAACGAUGCAUAGCCGACCUGAGAGGGUGAUCGGCCACACUGGGACUGAGACACGGCCCAGACUCCUACGGGAGGCAGCAGUAGGGAAUCUUCCGCAAUGGACGAAAGUCUGACGGAGCAACGCCGCGUGAGUGAUGAAGGCUUUCGGGUCGUAAAACUCUGUUGUUAGGGAAGAACAAGUACAAGAGUAACUGCUUGUACCUUGACGGUACCUAACCAGAAAGCCACGGCUAACUACGUGCCAGCAGCCGCGGUAAUACGUAGGUGGCAAGCGUUAUCCGGAAUUAUUGGGCGUAAAGCGCGCGCAGGCGGUUUCUUAAGUCUGAUGUGAAAGCCCACGGCUCAACCGUGGAGGGUCAUUGGAAACUGGGGAACUUGAGUGCAGAAGAGAAAAGCGGAAUUCCACGUGUAGCGGUGAAAUGCGUAGAGAUGUGGAGGAACACCAGUGGCGAAGGCGGCUUUUUGGUCUGUAACUGACGCUGAGGCGCGAAAGCGUG
rnacentral:rRNA from 2 species